GUGCUCUCAGAUUAUUUGAAUGGAGCUGGCUGAGAAACGUAGUCCUUGUGGAAACUGUUUUGAAGAGGGCUAUUUUUCCCCUGUGUCAUGAUAAGCAGGAAAGAGUCUCUGGAGCGCUUUUAAAAUGAUCGCUUAUUUUAGGAAAGAAGAACAUGAUUCUGAGAGAGAAACAGAGAAGGUAUCCUUUGGUGGGAAGCCUUCAGUAUGGUCACAGAAAGACUAUGGAAAGUAUAAAUUCUCACUUGGACAAUUGCAUUUUUCCACUGAGUCUUCUUGUACUUCUUUCAACCAGCUGUCUUCUAUUUUGUGCUUAGCCUCACCUGCUGAGGAGUAUGUAUUUACACCCUUGGAAGAGUGGUGAGGUUCAGCCUGCUAAGGCUGCUGUUCACCACUGUGCAGCCAAUUCCAGCUCUAGGUUGCCUUUCACCGCCCAGCUAUCUUGUGGAAGUUCAGCCCUG
rnacentral:lncRNA from 1 species